UACGUAGGGGGCAAGCGUUGUCCGGAUUUAUUGGGCGUAAAGAGCGUGUAGGCGGCCAGACCGGUCCGUUGUGAAAACUGGAGGCUCAACCUUCAGACGUCGACGGAAACCGUCUGGCUAGAGUCCGGAAGAGGAGAGUGGAAUUCCUGGUGUAGCGGUGAAAUGCGCAGAUAUCAGGAAGAACACCGAUGGCGAAGGCAGCUCUCUGGGACGGUACUGACGCUGAGACGCGAAAGCGUGGGGAGCGAACAGG
rnacentral:rRNA from 1 species